rnacentral:misc_RNA from 1 species
GAUGAAGAAACGUAGCGAAAUGCGAUAAGUAAUGUGAAUUGCAGAAUUCAGUGAAUCAUCGAAUCUUUGAACGCACCUUGCGCCCUUUGGCUAUUCCGAAGGGCAUGCCUGUUUGAGUAUCAUGAACACCUCAACUCUCAUGGUUUGCCAUGAUGAGCUUGGACUUUGGGGGUCUUGCCGGCCUAUGGGUCGGCUCCUCUCAAAUUAAUCAGCUUGCCAGUGUUUGGUGGCAUCACAGGUGUGAUAACUAUCUACGCUUGUGGUUUUCCAUCAGGUAACCUUCAGUGAUGGAGGUUCGCUGGGGCUCAUAAAUGUCUCUCCUCAGUGAGGACAGCUUUUUUGAACGUUUGAUCUCAAAUCAGGUAGGACUACCCGCUGAACUUAAGCAUAUCAAUAAGCGGAGGA